CAGUGGUAGAGGAGCAUUGUAUGGGCGAAGAAGCAUAAGCGAAAGCACGUGUGGAGCGCAUACAAGAGAGAAUGCUGGCAUGAGUAGCGAGAAGGGAUGUGAGAAUCAUCCCCGUCGAAACCCUAAGGAUUCCUGAGCAAGGCUCGUCCCCUCAGGGUAAGUCGGGACCUAAGGCGAGGCCUAACGGCGUAGCCGAUGGAUAACAGGUUUAAAUUCCUGUACCGCUUAAAGUCGCUAUAGAGAAGUGAUGACGCAAGAGGAUAAGCUAAGCUAGCUGAUGGAUGCUAGUCUAAAAAGUAAGGCUGUCAUGUAGGCAAAUCCGCAUGACAAACGGCCAAGCUUUGAUAGGUAUCGAAAACACAAGUAGAGAAGUAGCUGAUUUCAAAUUGCCAAGAAAAGUCACUAUCAAGACCAAAGCGCCCGUACCAAAACCGACACAGGUAGGGAGGUAGAGAAUACCAAGACGCGCGGAAGAACCUUUGUUAAGGAACUCGGCAAAAUGUCCCCGUAACUUCGGGAGAAGGGGAGCCAGAGCGAUCUGGCCACAGAAACCAGGCCCAAGCGACUGUUUACCAAAAACACAAGUUUCUGCAAAAUCGAAAGAUGAAGUAUAGGAGCUGACACCUGCCCGGUGCUGGAAGGUUAAGGGGAAGGCUUAGCGAAUGCGAAGGCUAGAACUUAAGCCCCAGUAAACGGCGGCCGUAACUAUAACGGUCCUAAGGUAGCGAAAUUCCUUGUCGGGUAAGUUCCGACCCGCACGAAAGGUGUAACGAUUUGGGCACUGUCUCAACAAAGGAUCCGGUGAAAUUGUAGUAGUCGUGAAGAUGCGACUUACCCACGCUAGGACGGAAAGACCCCGUGGAGCUUUACUGUAGGCUGAUAUUGGACUUUGAGAUUAGACGUACAGGAUAGUUGGGAGACUUAGAAACACGCACACCAGUGUAUGUGGAGUCACCCUUGGGAUACCAACCCUCUAAUAUUAAAGUUCUAACGAUGACCCUUGAAUCAGGGCAUCGGACAUUGUCAGUUGGGCAGUUUGACUGGGGCGGUCGCCUCCCAAAAAGUAACGGAGGCGUUCAAAGGUUCGCUCAGAAUGGACGGAAACCAUUCGCAGAGUACAAAGGCAGAAGCGAGCUUAACUGCAAAACCUACAAGUUGCGCAGAGUAGAAAUACGGACUUAGUGAUCCGGUGGCACCGCAUGGAAGGGCCAUCGCUCAACGGAUAAAAGCUACCCCGGGGAUAACAGGCUUAUCUCCCCCAAGAGUCCACAUCGACGGGGAGGUUUGGCACCUCGAUGUCGGCUCGUCUCAUCCUGGGGCUGAAGUAGGUCCCAAGGGUUGGGCUGUUCGCCCAUUAAAGAGGCACGCGAGCUGGGUUCAGAACGUCGUGAGACAGUUCGGUCCCUAUCCAGCGUGGGCGUAAGAAAUUUGAGAGGAUCUGUCCCUAGUACGAGAGGACCGGGAUGGACACACCUCUGGUGUACCAGUUGUUCCGCCAGGAGCAUAGCUGGGUAGCUACGUGUGGAAUUGAUAAGUACUGAAAGCAUCUAAGUACGAAGCAGGCCUCAAGAUAAGAUUUCUCAGAGUAGGUAAAGAAAAUACCUUUGAUAGGUCCAAGGUGUAAGUGCAGUAAUGUAUUAAGCUAAUGGAUACUAAACUUUAAAUCUUGACUGG
rnacentral:rRNA from 1 species